GACGAACGCUGGCGGCGUGCUUAACACAUGCAAGUCGAACGGAAAGGCCCUGCUUUUGUGGGGUGCUCGAGUGGCGAACGGGUGAGUAACACGUGAGUAACCUGCCCUUGACUUUGGGAUAACUUCAGGAAACUGGGGCUAAUACCGGCUAGGAGCUCCUGCUGCAUGGUGGGGGUUGGACAGUUUCGGCGGUUGGGGAUGGACUCGCGGCUUAUCAGCUUGUUGGUGGGGUAGUGGCUUACCAAGGCUUUGACGGGUAGCCGGCCUGAGAGGGUGACCGGCCACAUUGGGACUGAGAUACGGCCCAGACUCCUACGGGAGGCAGCAGUGGGGAAUAUUGCACAAUGGGCGGAAGCCUGAUGCAGCAACGCCGCGUGCGGGAUGACGGCCUUCGGGUUGUAAACCGCUUUCGCCUGUGACGAAGCGUGAGUGACGGUAAUGGGUAAAGAAGCACCGGCUAACUACGUG
rnacentral:rRNA from 1 species